CAAUCUGUGAUUUGGUCUGGUUACAUAACCUCUCCAAAACAACCUCAAAAAAAUUGGAAAAUCUUUCUAACAAUUGUCUGAAACACAAUAAGCCAUGCACACCGAGUUAUGUAAUAUGUGAGUGAAUGGCCAGGAAGGAUAUCUGAAGGGAGUUAUAGUAUUCCCUCCUGCACCCAAACCUGUGGCCCCCCAAAUCUGAAACAGUUAUUUGUUUAAAGAGGAACAAACACUGAUUGGUCAGGUGUCUUGGCCAGUUGGCUGCUAUAUGUGCUCUAGUUUGGAGAUGUAUUUCUAUUGCCCCCUUUGGACCACAUGGUGUUAAAGGGCCCCAGCAAUCAACGAGGACUUUGAUCAGAGAAUGGGCC